rnacentral:rRNA from 1 species
UUCGUAGGCGGUGUGGCAAGUCGGGAGUGAAAUCUCUGGGCUCAACCCAGAGACUGCUUCCGAAACUGCUGUGCUUGAGUGUGGGAGAGGCGCGUGGAAUUGCAGGUGUAGCGGUGAAAUGCGUAGAUAUCUGCUGGAACACCCGUGGCGAAAGCGGCGCGCUGGACCACUACUGACGCUGAGGAACGAAAGCUAGGGGAGCAAACA